rnacentral:tRNA from 1 species
GGAGAAUUACUCAAGAGGCUGAAGAGGACGGUUUGCUAAAUCGUUAGGUCGGGUAACCGGCGCGAGGGUUCGAAUCCCCCAUUCUCCG